CUGAGAUAUUACAGGGAUUAUCAAUGUUACUCACUACUAACACGCUAGAACAUAGUGCUGAGAUAUUACAGGGAUUAUCAAUGUUACUCACUCGGACAUAGUGCUGAAAUCAUCAGCCAGAUUGAAAACAAAAACACACCAUUAAAGGGGCAAUAUGCAAUUCAAACAAAACGUUGAUGGCCCAUCAGAGAGAGAGUAGCCAUCGGGGAGAGAGUAGCCAUCGGGGAGAGAGUAGCCAUCGGGGAGAGAGUAGCCAUCGGGGAGAGAGUAGCCAUCGGAGAGAGAGAGAGUAGCCAUCGGAGAGAGAGUAGCCAUCGGAGAGAGAGAGACCAUCAGAGAGAGAGAGAGUAGCCAUCAGAGAGAGAGAGUAGCCAUCAGAGAGAGAUAGUAGCCAUUAGAGAGAGAGAGAGAAGAUCAGAGAGAGAGAGUAGCCAUCAGAGAGAGAGUAGCCAUCAGAGAGAGAGAGUAGCCAUCAGAGAGAGAGUAGCCAUCAGAGAGAGUAGCCAUCAGAGAGAGAGUAGCCAUCAGAGAGAGAGUAGCCAUCAGAGAGAGAGUAGCCAUCAGAGAGAGAGUAGCCAUCAGAGAGAGAGUAGCCAUCAGAGAGAGAGUAGCCAUCAGAGAGAGAGUAGCCAUCAGAGAGAGAGUAGCCAUCAGAGAGAGAGAGUAGCCAUCAGGGAGAGAGUAGCCAUCGGAGAGAGAGUAGCCAUCAGAGAGAGCGUAGCCAUCAGGGAGAGAGUAGCCAUCAGGGA
ensembl:lncRNA